GAUGAACGCUGGCGGCGUGCCUAAUACAUGCAAGUCGAGCGAACAGACGAGGAGCUUGCUCCUCUGACGUUAGCGGCGGACGGGUGAGUAACACGUGGAUAACCUACCUAUAAGACUGGGAUAACUUCGGGAAACCGGAGCUAAUACCGGAUAACAUGUUGAACCGCAUGGUUCAACAGUGAAAGACGGUCUUGCUGUCACUUAUAGAUGGAUCCGCGCCGCAUUAGCUAGUUGGUAAGGUAACGGCUUACCAAGGCAACGAUGCGUAGCCGACCUGAGAGGGUGAUCGGCCACCCUGGAACUGCGACACGGUCCAGACUCCUACGGGAGGCAGCAGUAGGGAAUCUUCCGCAAUGGGCGAAAGCCUGACGGAGCAACGCCGCGUGAGUGAAGAAGGUCUUCGGAUCGUAAAACUCUGUUAUUAGGGAAGAACAAAUGUAUAAGUAACUAUGCACGUCUUGACGGUACCUAAUCAGAAAGCCACGGCUAACUACGUG
rnacentral:rRNA from 1 species